rnacentral:rRNA from 1 species
UGAAAAGAACCUUGGAGAGAGAGUCAAAAAGACCGCGAAACCGUUAGGAGGGAAACGAAUGCAGCUGAAGUGGCUCCGUAUCAGGUUCAGGGGACGUCGGAGGGCGCUCCGGGUCACGACGAAGUCGGGCCCGGAGCGGCGGUCGACAACUCUGCACUCCUGUUGGGAGCCGGCCAACAGCAGUUGUUUCCGGCCCAGAAGGUCGGUCGGGAGGUGCCCCCGCACUCGUGUGGGGAGCGUAUAGCCGGUCGUCCGGAGGUCUGGGAGCGACUGAGGAGAGCCGUGAAUUUUCACGCGUGCAGCGCAGGCCCCUCGGGGCCGGGCCGCCUCUUUCCGUUUGGGCCCCGCGGUGGGGACUGCGUGCAGUGUCUGCUGACGGUCAGCCUGCUCGGUCGGGGGGUCGGCCACGCCUUGCGCUCGGGCUGUUGGUGCUCAAAUGGCUGCAUCCGACCCGUCUUGAAACACGGAA